UUANCCAUAGUAUGCUUUGGAAACUGUUUAACUUGAGUGCAGAAGGGGAGAGUGGAAUUCCAUGUGUAGCGGUGAAAUGCGUAGAUAUAUGGAGGAACACCGGUGGCGAAAGCGGCUCUCUGGUCUGUAACUGACGCUGAGGCUCGAAAGCGUGGGGAGCAANCAGGAUUAGAUACCCUGGUAGUCCACGCCGUAAACGAUGAGUGCUAGGUGUUAGGCCCUUUCCGGGGCUUAGUGCCGCAGCUAACGCAUUAAGCACUCCGCCUGGGGAGUACGACCGCAAGGUUGAAACUCAAAGGAAUUGACGGGGCCCGCACAAGCGGUGGAGCAUGUGGUUUAAUUCGAAGCAACGCGAAGAACCUUACCAGGUCUUGACAUCCCUCUGACCGCUCUAGAGAUAGAGUUUUCCUUCGGGACAGAGGUGACAGGUGGUGCAUGGUUGUCGUCAGCUCGUGUCGUGAGAUGUUGGGUUAAGUCCCGCAACGAGCGCAACCCCUAUUGUUAGUUGCCAUCAUUGAGUUGGGCACUCUAGCGAGACUGCCGGUAAUAAACCGGAGGAAGGUGGGGAUGACGUCAAAUCAUCAUGCCCCUUAUGACCUGGGCUACACACGUGCUACAAUGGCUGGUACAACGAGUCGCAAGCCGGUGACGGCAAGCUAAUCUCUGAAAGCCAGUCUCAGUUCGGAUUGUAGGCUGCAACUCGCCUACAUGAAGUCGGAAUCGCUAGUAAUCGCGGAUCAGCACGCCGCGGUGAAUACGUUCCCGGGCCUUGUACACACCGCCCGUCGCACCACGAGAGUUUGUAACACCCGA
rnacentral:rRNA from 1 species